CCGAUCACGGUGGAAUCGACGGUUAUAACCUGUCCUCGUCGCCAUCGUCAUCGGCGCCGUCGACAUCAUCGUCGUCAGUCCCGAUCGGCUGCGUCGCGGGUGACCGUCCAAUAGCGGUGCUUCUACAGACAAAGCCUACGUGCUAGAACUGUGAGGGGUCCGGAGAGCACGAA